rnacentral:lncRNA from 1 species
AAGGUCUACAUGAAGAAGAAAUGAUGGGACCAAACAAUCAGGAAGCAGGGAAGCACUGCACCAGCUCCUAACACAAGAGUGCAACAUGUUAUCCACUAGAUAUGACACAACCAGAUUGCCCCUACAGCCAAUGCUUCAGGAAGAAACAGCCUUAUACUCACAGGUAAGAAAUAUUUUGAAAGGCUAUUUGAAAAAGAAGCUACAUUAUAUGAUUGCUAAAAUGACUAGGAGGAAGCUUGCAAUUCUCUGACCAGUGAAAAAAGUCUAUAUCAACUGAAAUUGCACAGAGGAAAGUUAAUCACCAGAAAAUUGAAGUCCAACCUAUUCAUCUGCUCUGAUUUUGCCAUUGCUGCACAAGUGUCAAAAUUAUGGCAAGGCGGAGAUGUAACAAUCAAUACAAAAAGUAAACAAGUCAGCUGAAUGGACUCAAAGUAAAUAAAUACCUAUACCCUCAAGUUAGCAGUGGGCUAGUGAGACAGUGAAGAAUAAAAAGAACUGAAAUAGCUGGAGUUUCAUUGACUUAAGGAUCUUCACUCUUAUCCAUUCUGCUCUAAGAUUUCUCUAAGUUCAGGAGAGGCUUAUAAAGUCAGAUCUAAACUGAGUCCUGAAGACAGAAACCCAGAAAGU